UCUUUAGUUUGCCAUCAUUAAGUUUGGGUCACUCUAAAGAGACUGCCGAUGACAAAUCGGAGGAAGGUGGGGAGUGACGUCAAAUCAUCAUGCCCUUUAUGUCCUGGGCUACACACGUGCUACAAUGGUCGGUACAACGAGAAGCAAGUCAGCGAUGGCAAGCAAAUCUCUAAAAGCCGAUCCCAGUUCGGAUUGCAGGCUGCAACUCGCCUGCAUGAAGUCGGAGUUGCUAGUAAUCGCGGAUCAGAAUGCCGCGGUGAAUGCGUUCCCGGGUCUU
rnacentral:rRNA from 1 species